CAGUAGCCGCGGUAAUACGGAGGGGGCUAGCGUUGUUCGGAAUUACUGGGCGUAAAGCGCACGUAGGCGGCUUGGUAAGUUAGAGGUGAAAGCCUGGUGCUCAACACCAGAACUGCCUUUAAGACUGCAUCGCUUGAACGUCGGAGAGGUGAGUGGAAUUCCGAGUGUAGAGGUGAAAUUCGUAGAUAUUCGGAAGAACACCAGUGGCGAAGGCGGCUCACUGGACGACUGUUGACGCUGAGGUACGAAAGCGUGGGGAGCAAACAGGAUUAGAGACCCCGGUAGUCCCUGUCUCUUAUAC
rnacentral:rRNA from 1 species